rnacentral:rRNA from 1 species
CCUACGGGUGGCUGCAGUGGGGAAUUUUGGACAAUGGGGGCAACCCUGAUCCAGCCAUGCCGCGUGCGGGAAGAAGGCCUUCGGGUUGUAAACCGCUUUUGUCAUGGAAGAAAUCUUCCGAGCUAAUACCUUGGGAGGAUGACGGUACCUGAAGAAUAAGCACCGGCUAACUACGUGCCAGCAGCCGCGGUAAUACGUAGGGUGCAAGCGUUAAGUGGAAUUACUGGGGGCGGUUGUGGAAGACAGGGUUGAAAUCCCCGGGCUUAACCUGGGAACUGCACUUGUGACUGUACGGCUGGAGUACGGCAGAGGGGGAUGGAAUUCCGCGUGUAGCAGUGAAAUGCGUAGAUAUGCGGAGGAACACCGAUGGCGAAGGCAGUCCCCUGGGCCUGUACUGACGCUCAUGCACGAAAGCGUGGGGAGCAAACAGGAUUAGAGACCCCUGUAGUC